rnacentral:rRNA from 1 species
AUUGAACGCUGGCGGCAGGCUUAACACAUGCAAGUCGAGCGGGGGAAGGUAGCUUGCUACCGGACCUAGCGGCGGACGGGUGAGUAAUGCUUAGGAAUCUGCCUAUUAGUGGGGGACAACAUCUCGAAAGGGAUGCUAAUACCGCAUACGUCCUACGGGAGAAAGCAGGGGACCUUCGGACCUUGCGCUAAUAGAUGAGCCUAAGUCGGAUUAGCUAGUUGGUGGGGUAAAGGCCUACCAAGGCGACGAUCUGUAGCGGGUCUGAGAGGAUGAUCCGCCACACUGGGACUGAGACACGGCCCAGACUCCUACGGGAGGCAGCAGUGGGGAAUAUUGGACAAUGGGGGGAACCCUGAUCCAGCCAUGCCGCGUGUAUGAAGAAGGCCUUAUGGUUGUAAAGCACUUUAAGCGAGGAGGAGGCUACUCUAGUUAAUACCUAGGGAUAGUGGACGUUACUCGCAGAAUAAGCACCGGCUAACUCUGUGCCAGCCGCCGCGGUAA